CCUUGAUCUUGAAUUAAACAGAAGAACAAAAGGUAGUUAAUGGUACAGCUGGUGGAGAACCAGACAUUGUAAAGGACAUAGAGUCAGCCUGGGAUUUGACUUCUUUGGAAACACUAGAUUCUGGGGACACAUCAGAUUAAAGACUGUCAAGUUGAAGAAAAAUAUUUACUAAAGCAAUUCUGCCAGCAUGUGUUGAGUGUGCUGUGUGCAAGGCCCUCAAUAGUAGACGGUACUAAAUAUAGAGAUAAAUUGAUUGUUUCUUGCUUUUUGGCAAUCGUAGUAUAGUGGGGGAUAAGCAAGAGUAGUGCCCAAAUUAAUCUCAAAGGGAUUUGAGAUUGUCAGGGAAAUAUUAAUUUCAACCGAGGGGUCUAAGAGAGCUUCAUGAAGAAAGUAGCAUUUGACUUGAGUCUCUAAAAGCAGGAAUGGGAGGGUAAUUUUAAUAGCAGGAAUUUUUAAUAGCAGGAAUGGGAGGGUAUUCUAGAGUAAAGGAAUACUUUUGGCACCGGGAUGAGAGAAUAUUUUUGGCAGUGUCACUGAGGUAGGAAAUUGGGCCCAGUUGAGAAAUGGAGUGACUUCAAAUUAGGUUGUAUUCCACAGGCAAAAUCGGACCAUAGACUGGGCCUAGAUGGGGAAAAUUGUAUGUGAUUCUACAAACUCUAUGUGUUGGGGAAGGGGGGUGGUAUGGAGUGGAUAGGAAGGACAAAGUCUGGGGGAAGACACAUUGUGGAGGUAGCAUUGUAUUAAUAUUUGUUCUCUGUUAAUAUAUAAGGAGUGAGGGAAGAGUCACAGAUAUGUUGAAUGAUCUUGAGUGGGAGAGUGAGUUGUGGAGUGUGAAAGAGUAAAGGCUUGAUUGAGUUCAUACUCAGAGAUAUACUCUUAUUUUCAUCUAUUAGGGAAAAAUACUCUUGGAUAAAAAUACUUGUAAAAAAGAUGGGAAAAAUAUCUCAGCUAACUGUAGUUCUCCCAUUGUAAUCCAUAUUUGGUGAUGAUGAUUAUUUUCUCCCUCUUUGGUUGCAUCAUCCUUUCUUUACUAUGAGCUGAAAAAUAUAAAUCUUUUAGGGAUGCCUGGGUGGCUCAGUUGGUUAAGCGUACGACUUCGCUCAGGUCAUGAUCGCAUGGUUUGUGAGUUCAAACACCGCAUCAGGCUUUCUGCUGUCAGCACAAACCUCACUUCAGAUCCCCUGUCCCAGUCUCUCUCUGCCCCUUGCUUGCUCAUGCACACUGUCUCUCUCUCUCUGUCUCUCUCAAAAUAAAUAAAUAUUUUUAAAAGUUAAAAAAUAUAUACAUCUUUUAAAAGGCAUUGCGGUUUCAUCAUAGAUUUCUAAUACUGAUUUUAUGGGAAUCCUUCUUAUAUUGUUUUCCAUUCUAUAGAAAUUUGUUUCCAUGUUUUUAUUAUACUGGUAAAGUACAGUAAAGUCUUUUUGUUUUGUAUAAAUAUUUACUUACUUGAAAUGCCGUCUAACUUUUAUAGCAACCAUAUUUAGAUUUUCAAAUAAACAUUACAUGGACUUAGCUAAAAAUAUGAAUCCUUCAAUUAAGGAUAACUAUAUGGUGCAUAUACUUCAUAUGCUUUCUUUUGGUACAUUUAGUCAAUCUUCUGUAUGCCUAGCUGCUAGAAGAGUUUUUGCACCUUAGUGUUCUUACUAACAUUUAAAAAAAAUUACUUUUAUGUUUUUUUAAGUUUAUAUAUUUAUUUUGAGAGAGAGAGAGAGCACACGAGAGAGUGCACAAGAAGUGGUGGAGCAGAAAGAGAAGGAGAGAAUCCCAAGCAGGCUCUGCUCUGUCAUUGUAGAGGCCGAUGCCAGCCUUGAUCCCAUAAACCGGGAGAUCAUGACUUAAGCUGAAGUCAAGAGUCAGACACUUAAGCAACUUUGCCACCCAGGUGCCCCAUCUUAUUGACAUUUUUUUGAUACUUAAUCCUAAACAUAGCAAAGAUAUGCUAAUACUCUGAUAUCACUCUCCUCAUUUUGUAAAUGGUAUUCGUAUUCCUUCCUUUCAUCCUGUCCUCAUGGUCUCCAGUGCCAGAAUACUCCAUAUUUUUACCUCUCAAAUAGGCAGAAUCUUGUUUGUUUGUUUGUUUGUUUUUUAAAUAAUAAAACUCAGUGCCCAGUAAGGAUUUGGUGAGAUGGGUGGCCUCAGCAAUGACUGGGAUAGUAGUUUGGUAGCAUGUAUCAAGAUCCCUAAAACUGACAUCCUGUGACUCACUCAUUUUAUUGCUAGGAAUCUUUUUUAGGAAAUAAUCAGAGAUGAAUUACAGAUGCAUUAUAAAUAGCAAGGCUAUUCAUUUGUGCAUUAUUUAUAACAAAAGUUUACACUAUUUAUUACAUUAUAAUCACGUGAAAGUAUUAUACUAUCUUUAAAUAAUGAUGAUGCUUUUGAAGAUAUAGGAAAAUGUUUAUUCAGAAAUGUUAAAAACAGGAUUAAUGUGGGGGAAUAGGUUCUACUUACAUACAUAAGUAGAACUUUUCUAAUCCAGAUAAAAGGCUUAGAAAAAAGCUUAGGGCGGAAAGCUGCCACCAAGGGGCAAAAGCUCUUGGGGUUAGCUAGCGAAUUAUUGUAAUGGGAUCACAAGUAACUUGUUAUAUCACCUGCAGGAAAUUACUUUCCAUCUGAUGCCAUUAUACUAUUGUACUUAGAUCACAACCUCCACUUGCCCCCUAGACCCUUUGCUUAUUACACAAGUUAAUGAGUACUGUCUGAUUGUUUUCUCCAUGUUCACAUGUGUAAGAUCUUGUUUUAUGUUCACCACAUAGGUAAUAUCUUUUGAGCUCAAUAAAUAAGGACAUGAAAAACCCUUGUUCGUGGCUCUUAUCUCCUCCCAGACAUCAGCCUCUCUCGUAUUCAAUUCUGCAUCCACUGUCUUGCUAGACAAGAGAGAACUCCAGACUCAUAGUUUGCGACAGAUUAAAAACUAUAUACAUGUUUGAACUCUGUAUGUUUGAAGAGAAAAUACUAGGAGAAAAUAUACCAGUGCUGUUAGGGGGUAAUUCUGGUUAGUGGAGUUAUAGGUGCUUUUUAUUUUUCUUCUAUUUUCUGUAUUCUCUACAUUUUCUAUAAUAAGUGUACAACUAGGAAAAAACAACACCAAGUUAUAUUAAGAGAUAAAAAAGGAAGGAAACACUUCAGAAAUCAGAAUACUAUGUGAACAUCAACCAUAUUGUCCAAACCAUGAACAAGCAGUGGCAGCUGCAACUGAAAUGAGUGAUGGACUAAUUCAAGUUGGCUGAUCUUGUUGCCAUAGCAUUAAUAGUCUUUCCAAGAUAGGUUUCUGUGAUAUCCUUUAGCUUUAUCAAGAUUUAGAUUGGUUCUCCUACUUAGUGUACAAAAAUCUAUGUUGGAAUCCCAUUUAAAUUGUUGAUUCCUGGGCCUUACCCCUAGAAAUUGUAAUUCAUUUGUCUGUUGAUGUGCCCAGACAUCCACAUUUUUAAAAAUUAUUUAUUUAUUUUGAGAGAAUGAGAGAGUGUGUGCUUUUGUGCACGUGCAUGCAGGCGCAUGAAUAGGGGGAGGGGCAAAGAGGGAGAGAGAGAAUCCCAAGCAGGCUUUGCAUUGUGAGCUCAGAGCCCCAUGCGGGGCUGCAUCUGAUGAACUGUGAGAUCAUGACCUGAGCCAAAAUCAAGAGUUGGAUGCUUAACCAACUGAGCUACCCAGGUGACCCCGGACAUCCACAUUUUUAGUACACUCUCAGUGAUUCAUCUGAUGCAGGUGGUCAGCCUGCCACACUUUGAAAGACACUGCCAUAGUUGAACCUCCUUUAGAAGUAAGCUUUAAGUUUUGGGGUGCCUUGCUGGCUUGCUCAGUGGAGCAUGUGACUCUUGAUCUCAGGGUUGUAAGUUUGAGCCCCUCAUUGGGUAUCGAUAGAGAUUACUUAAAAAUAAAAAGAAGUUUUUUUUUCACUGGAACCCUGUCUUGCGUGGGUGUGGGAAGUCCAACACUGUGAAGGGCCAGGGCUUCAUGGCCCCAGCAUUUUCUAGGUGUUCAUCAAAACCACCUGUAGGGGUUUUUUUAAAACACUGCAGAUGUCUGCAUCCCAUUUUAGAACCUCCUGACUCUGAUUGUCUAGGAGUAGGGUAUGGGUAUGUGAAUUUUUAAUGAGCACCACAGAUUACUUAGAACUUAAAUGUACCUGAUAAACCAAUUGGUAUGGAACACAAUAUGGUACAGCUUCUUUUAAGCUAUACUGGUAUGCUUUGGUGAAGACAAUGUGGCUUGGGAUGAUGGUCAUUGUAGGCUUAGUUGCUGGAAAGUUACUGGGUUCCCAUUGUUUCUAGGCCAUGAAUAGUGCAAGUUAAUUUUGUUUUCUUAAUAACUUAAAUAACUCUCAUUUUCACUACAUAGUUUUUACCUCUAGAUGGCAGCAAAGGAUAGUUAUUUUAUUAGAACAGUCCUAGAUGUAAUAACCAAAUCUUUAAAAAAUGAUGCUGUGGGUUUUUUUCCCUCCAUAUGAAUUUUAUUCUUGGAUGUAUUUCAGUAAAUGAGGUAUGGAACUUCAAAAUGUGUCAUCUCUUGGAUAAUUUUUAUAGAACAUUAUGUCAAAUAGUUCCAAGAAAGUUUUAUCCAAAUUUGGAGUGCAUAUUGCAAGAGGAAUCCAUGCAUAUGUCUGUUUUAAGACCACACAGUGAACAUUCUACUCAGAGUUGUAGGCUCCUGGGUUUCAUCAGAAAGCAGAUGUCUUGGAGGAGAUUAAGCAAGUUGGAAAACUCAUUCACAGAAGAAAAGAUGUUUUAAUGUUUUAACUCAGUUCAACAUGGAGAUUGGGAUUUGGAAUGGAUUACAGGUCUGAAGGAUGCCAAGUUCAGUAAGGCAGCGGCAUUGGUUUUAUCUAGGGAGCAGUAGAAAGAAAAGGAGUAUAUGUGUGGAAUGUAUUCACUAAAUUCUUAAAAUGUUGGCUUAUUUGGUCCAUGAUUUCUUAAAAGAAACCAAGUGGUCUACAAGACACCCUAGUUACAGUAAGUCAUCAAAUGGCAGUGAGACUUUGUGACCAAAGGAAGUACAGAAAGGUGAAAAUAUUUUCUUUUAUUUGAAGUCAUAAUUCAAUAGCCCAAUUUCUACCUGAUCCUUGUGCUUUUUCAUAUUAUCAUAGAGGGCAAGCAUCUGAAAGUAUACCAGGUCAGAAUCAGCAUUUAUGGGGGAGCUAUUAGAUCCUUGUUAGGCAGCUGGAGUCAGGAUGUUUCCCUUUCUCUAAAUGAAAUUCUUUUGUAAGUGCUUUGAACUUUUUGGUGUUGCAUUGGCAACAUAUUGUCUAAGAAAGCAGUGGUGUCUCAGGAGUGUUCCUGACUACAAGGACUGCAGCAGACCCCUCAUUACACCUUUAGCUGUGGAGGUUGAAAGGAUGAACGUUCCCAGAGACUUCCUAUCAUUUGUGGUUUUUGGGGUGACGCAGUGAGGGGCAGAUUCAGGGCUACCUGACUCCCUCGGGGACCCAGCUGUGUUAUCAGAACGACAAUAUUUAGUAUUUUGGUUUUUAUCUCUUUUUAAUGGGAAAGGACACAAGUAUUUAUGAUAUAUGUGGUGAUGAAAGGGAGGAAGUGAUAAACUAGAAAAAAAAUCUUUGAAAUAUUAUUGCCUUUGUGUGUGUGUGUGUGUGUGUGUGUGUGUGUGUAUGUUUUGUAUUGUUUGGUAAAUCACUACUAAUUUGUAUAAAGAAAAAAAGUGGAAAUAAUAGAUAAUGAAUAUGGCAGAUAGCCCAGAGUUUCAUAUGCUGCUUUGGCUUUUUUUUUUUUUUUUUUCUUGACUUUCUCCGAACUUCCUCAUUAUGCAAUAAAACUUUAUCACUAAACAUUUUACAGUUUUAUAUGGUAAGAGGUCUUUCAAAAGGAAAUUCUGCAGUUGGAUUAGCUCAUUCCUGUUAACCUCCUGCAAGAGAACAUUUGGUUUUAAAUAGAGUUGCAGCACUAUGAUUUAUGUUAAAGAGUUGUCCGAUUUCUGAGGAAGUUAGAGGAAAUUGAUGCCUUUAUUUUAUAAUGUAACAUGGUUUGUGGUUGUACCUAGUCACAUCCCAAUCUCUCUGUGGUAAUUACACCAUGGGCAGUGAGGGAGUCUGAGAAUAAACAUUGAAAUAUAGUUUUCAAAAAUCCUUCCUAACCCAGUUGCUUCCAUUUGGUGCCCAGACACAUAGCAUCUCAUGUAGAAAUAGUAUGCUAAAAUAAAUACACUAACCUUGAACUUUUGUCUUCUUUGUUUGUCCCCUUUGUUGUUGUUGUUGUUGUUGUUUUAAGAUUUUAUUUUUAAGUAACCUCUAUACCCAACAUGGGGCUUGAACUUAGAGCCCCAAGAUCAAGAGUUGCACACUCCACCAACUGAUCCAGCCAGGCACACGUCCCCUUUCUUGUUAUUCAUUGUCAGAUUUUUUACCUCAGAUAUUUUUUUCUUUUUUGGUACUCUUCCCACUCUUUCCUCCCCAUAUCUUCAUUUGCAACCAUUUAAGGGGUUUUUUGAUCGUUCACAGGCUGACAGUUUACAACAGCCUUGGGUUAGUGGCUAGAGCAGAGGCUCUGGUGCCAGAUAGGCUUGGGAUUGCAUUCUGUUUCUGGCAUCAACUAGCUGUGUGUCCUCAGGCAAGACUUCAGACUUGCAGACUUCAGGUUCCUCAUCUGUAAUCCUUAUCUGGAGAUUGGAGUACCUACUUCUUGGUACCUACAUUCUUGGGGGGGGGGGGGGGAGUAGGAGAGACCCAUGGCACAUCAAAGUUCCAGAUAAGUGUUUGUUGUUAACAAUGUUAAUGUUAUGAAUUUUGUCUUUUUCUUUAUAUCUCUUAAGAUGCCUAUUUCUUGAUAAUAAUCAUAACUUAUUUUCUUUGGUUAUUUUAACUUUCUUAUUUUUCUGCUUUACCCCUUGUUUUCCCCCUCUCUAAUUAAUUAUUGGAGACAUGUUACCAAGCAUAGGAGUUGAGGCAGCUGACAAGCAAUGAUGUUUACUGGGCCAUGUUUCUAACCAAUCUGACCCACAAUUGUCCUUUCACACAAUCUGCCCCUUCACACAUUCUUUUCCUUCUUUAUCCUACUUGGUCUGAUUGUUAUGAGUCUUUCUUUUUUAGAGUUUACCUGAAAAGAUACUAUUUUCUACUCUUUCUUCUUUUCUUAUCUCUUAAUUGAAAAAAUGAAGCAGUUAUAGCACCUAUGAAGUCCUUUGGCCCUGACAUUCUGUGAGUCUAUGAAAAGAACAAAUGCAAGCCAGCUGUGCCCACCAGGUAUGUUGUUAGCCACAUGAGCCUUUGUUGAAUACCUACCACCAGCAGUAUUUACAUUCUGGGUAAUGUAGUACAGUGGCUUUUAAACUUUAUAAGCCCAAGAAUGAAGCAGGCAUGUUGUUUAAAUGCAGAUUUCCAGCAUUGGUUUCCAGAGGUCUAGGCACAUGGAAAUCUGUGGAGUCCUGAGUGAUUCUUAUAAGGGUGAUCAGUGACUGCAUUUGAGAAACAUUGAUAUAAGAGUUUUAAAAAUAAAUGAUCGCAGAUUCUUCCUCUCAAGAGAUUAUGGUAUAGGAGGGAUAACAAAUAAGCAUAAAAAGAGGCAAAACGAAGUGCUAUAAUAGAGGUACAAACAAAAGCAUUUUGGAAACUUGGAGGAAGACUGUGAAGAAUAGGAAGGUUUUCCAGAGGUAUUGGCCUUGAGAUAGGAGUAAGAUUUCAAUAGGACGAACAAAGAGACAAGAGUAUUCUAUCCUUAGGAACAGCAUGAACAAGGUGUGAGGUAAGAAAGCUCAGUUGUAUGUGGGAGGAUGGUCAGUACUGUGUUCUGGUGAGGAGGAUACAGGGUUCGUCCAGUUUCAAAAGGAGAUGAGGCAAGAGAUGGAGGACUAAUCUAGAAGGUUUGGACUUUGUGAUAUACUCAGUGAUAUAAGUGCGAAGUAAGUGCUCUUUUGGGUGGGGGGGGGGUGGAGAGGACUGGAGAAUUGCCAUGAUCAGGACAGUAUUGUAGAAAGAUCAGGACAGUAUGCUCACUAGCAACAUGAGCAAAGGUUGGAUUAGAGAGGUAAGGGGUUAAAUGUAAUAGAUUAACUAUUUUACAGUACCAUCUGUACUGAGGUCUGGAUGUGGGGAGUAGUAGCACAAAUAAAAGAGGGAGGGAGAGUAGCACAAAUAACAGAGAAAGAAAUACCAGGGCAGAGUGGCUGACUAAAUCUGGGGCAUGAACAGAAAAGUGGAGAAUGGCUCCCAGAUAUUGAACCCUGGCAACAAGGAAGGUGGUGGACCAUCACCAGAAGUGAGACAGAAAGGAACCCAAAAGCAGCAGUGCACUGGGGUGUGGGCACAUGCCAAGUAUGACGUAUAACUGGACCUUCCAUGUGGAACUCUUUGGUAGGCAUUGAAAACUUGGAGAUCUGGCUUUGAGAAUCAUCAUAGAGAAAUAGUUGAUACCAUUCAAGUGACUGAGAGCACAAGGGGAAAAUAUAGUUGCUCUUCAUCUUCCACUCUCUUCUUCUAUGAUAGAUACUUCUAGAUUCCUUUCCCAUAGUUUGAGAGGUGAGUUUUGUUGGGCCCUAUUCUUUGCCCACAUGCACCUCUCCAUCCCCCACACCCACCCUGCCACAAGUCCACCAAUCUUACUGAUAAGAGUGUAACUAGUUCUGAAAGGAGCCCCCAAGGAGAUAUUUCUUCCCAGUACUUGAACAAUGCUUAGUGAUUGAAUCAUUAUCCAAGCACUGAUUGGCUAGCAGGGAGGAAAGGAAAUCCUGCCCCUCUCCUCAGUGACCACACUGGCCCCUCUACCAUUGUGUCUGGGCUGAGCAGACAGAUUACAUAAACUUGUACUCUGUGGGGGGGGGGGUCUGCCACUCCUUGGCACAGGGGCAUUCGGUAAUUACAGGAUGACCCCCCCAGAGCACAUUUCCUUCCACAUUGGCAGUCUGAGAAAACCUGGAAUAGGGCCAUAGUUGAUAAGUUGGCCUAAAAAAAUAGUAAUAAUUGUCCAUUGUUCUCCCUAGUCCUUUCAUUACUCUUCAUAGAAGCUAAAGUCAGUGGCUCUGGCAUUUGUAUCUUCCAAAAUUUGUGUUAUAAAUAGGUAUUAUUCUUAUAAUCAGAAAAAAGUUUUAUAAAAAAAAAAACUGUGCUGCUUAUGCCUGUCACUGUGAGAUAUGCCAUCCUUCUUCACUGAGAUCCCUACCCAUUUACCCCCUCCUUGUUACCCUGAAGUUGUUUAAAUUUUUCUAAUGUUUUAUGGACCUUUUGGGGAUUGUUGAAAUUUUUAGUUAACCCCUCUCUCUAUAAACUAAUUUUCUGCAGCCUCAAAACUAAUAUCCAUGAAUUCAGUCAAGAACACCAUUAAAAGGCAAAGAAUGGAAAAGAAAUAGCUCUUUUCUUUCUUUCUUUUUUUUUUUUUUUUAAGAGAAGAAGGAGAAAAGCAGCCAACUUACUAAUAGUGAAUGAUAGCAAUUUACUCUUGAGGAAUUGCUGUGAAUUGUUUGAAGAGUGGCUGCAAUGAAGCAAGUUUUUUUAUGCAUUUAAUUGUUUCUGAGAGAUAUAUUGGAGACUGACUUAAAGACUUUCCUCUGAAGUGUCAGUUUUAUUUGUGAUGCUUAAUUCUGAAUUGGAAGCAGAAUUUAGAGACUGACAAAGCUGAACACUAACACUUUCCCCCUGAGCUGGGAAAAUACACAACGCUUUUUUUUCUUUCUUUCUUUCUUUUUCUUUUUCUUUAAGGUGAUUUUGGGACCAUCAUUCUUUCCUAAUAAGUUAUGGUGUUGCUUGAGAAAUGGAAACUCUAAAUUAGGGUAUAUCAUCCAGGAAGAUUUUCUAGUCUUCUGCAAAGGCCAAAGUGCCACUACCCAUGGGCUAAGUUGGUGGUUUUUGUCUUUAUGGUGGCUACACCUUGAUCCUUUGAUUGCCUUUUCUGGAGGUGUCGGGUCACUAUCAGGACUGUCAAGGCAGCUGCUAUGUAUAAGUUUUGAUGUGCAUGGUCAUGAUGUUCUUUUUGUGGAUCAUUUUUACUCACUUCUGAUGCCUUUCCUCCAACCACCUCUGAGGCCCAUCAGAUACCUCCUCGAAGCUCAUUCUGCAUGCCCUGCAUUUGUGCCUUUGCUUAUCGAACCCUGCUUUAGGAUAGAGUUGACUUUAACCACCACCCCAGUGCUCCCUGAGAACAGUCUCCUGAUGAUGAGGAAUUGUGCUUCUCCUUGGUCUUGCUUUCUCCCAUGUCCUAUCCACAGCACCAUCCUGUCAGUCUUUCCCAUGCCUCCCCAUUUAUGUGAGGCUCAGCCUCUCACAUUCAUAAACCUUUGUUCCCCAAACAAUAACCUCAGGGAUAUGGGAGGAGUUGGAAGGGGAGCCAGAUCACUCUGGACUGUGGUGAUCAUGGAAGUUUUCAGAAAAGGUAAGGCUUGAGCCAGAUCUUUCAGUGUGGAUCACGUGAUGAGAGAAGAGAAAAUUAUCCAUGUGGAACAGCUGGGAGGGGGUAGGAGAAAGCCCUGUGUAUCUUUAGGGGAAUUCUGAGUGUUCUGGAUAAAGUGUCAGACUUGUGAGACAGAGUGCAAGAAUGUAAUGUUAGACAUCCCGUCUAUGCUCUUAAGUAAUGGAGAGGAUCAAAGGCAAUUUAUUAUGCUUCCCACUUGCACUGAGGUAGCUUCUCAGUAUGUUGCCAUGGAAAGAGAAUGGGACAACAGAAUUAAAUUUGUGUUAUAUCUUUCUCAUGUCACAUACUAAUAGAACAACCUGAAGCAAUUUUCCUUGCAUCUCAGAAUUAAACAUUUUUUAUCUUUAAAAUUGUGGUGAUAUAUAGGGUUGUUGUGAAAUGAAAUGAUAGUGUAUAAAGGAUUAGUUAUUUCCAUUAUCUCACUACCCAGAAGUCUUCACUGAAGACACAGAGUGCUCCCUGCCAUUGUAUUCAAGGCUCUUCACAUUCGACAGGACCAGGCCCUUCAAGCCUACCCCUACCCCAACCAUCUGAGCUGAAGCCACACUACCCUGCUCAUUGUUCCUUGAACUCUGGUUUUCUCCUCUCUUGCUUGGCCUCACAUCUCUGCUUUUGUCUCAUUCUUGUCUCAUUGGUGUCACUUGACAGUACCCUGGAACACCUUUUGUCCUCUGUUUAUCUUAGUCUUCCUCAUCUCCCAGCCCCUGCUCAAAUCUCAUCUAUGUCUGAAACCUAACCCCUGAACCUUGUCCCUGGAGUAACCUGCUCCUCUUCCAAAUUCCUGUAGUAUUUACUCUCUGUAGAAUUCCUUCUCUGUGUUGUGCUCUUAAUUACCUUUUAAGGUAGUCCUCAACUCCCACCCUAGAUUCUAAAUCUUACACUUCCAUAACUGCCUCACAUAGCACUGGGUAAAAUUAGGUGCUUUAUAAAUAUAUUUGUUGGUUCAUUCUUAUAGGUGAUUUGUUGAAGAAUGAAGAAAGCUUGUAUUCUAAUAGACAUUUGUGCCUCUGGUGGUUAUAAGCUACUACAGAAGGAGUUGAAAUUUCUGAAAGAGGACUCUUUGGAAAGGUCUAAACAGUAAAGGGUUAUCUCUUAAGUUCUUAGGAAUCCUCCUGAAACCCAUUUUUUCCCACUAAGGCAAAUGUGGUUGGUUGUCUAGACUUUUAUUUCUCCUGAAGGCAUGUGAGAAAUGGAAGCUUAUCUGAAAACAUUAGUUUAUAUCUGGUAUUGAAACAAAGGUACAGGGUAUUAACACAAAUACAAAUAUUCAAAUACACAUAUGCCUUGAGCCAAUCUGUCAGGUUAGUGGAAACAAUCCUUAUGCAACUAAACUCUUCAGUGCAGAUUUUUAAAGUUGCUUUGAGGCUUAUAUUUAGUCAGAUUCAAGAUUUUCAUCUCUACAUACCAGACACAAGAGUUUUCAAAUGAGCUGUCAGAUUUUUCCCGCAGCAAGUCAUGUAAAAGAGGAACUGGCUUAUAGAGGUAGUCCAUCUCUCUCAUGCAGUGGUUCUCAAAUGGAGGUGAUUUUACACUGCAGAGAACAUUUAGCCAUGUCAGGAGCCAUUUUUGUUUGUCACAGUUGGGAGAUGCUACUUGGCAUCUAGUGGAAGCCAGGAAUGCUCCUAGACGUCCUACAGUGCACAGGACAUCCUUCCACAACAAAGAAUCACCAGACCCAUACGGUUAAUAGUCCUGAGGUUGCAAAACUUUGCUCUAAUGAGAAAAGAGCUGAUAUGUUGAGGAUUAAAAGGCUAAUUCAUAGAAUCUUAAAGAAGAAAACAAAUCUUUAAAGACCAUCUAGUAGUUAGGACACCUAUAAGUGGGAAAAUGAGGAAGGAGAAAUAUAAUGGCUGAAAGGAAACUCAUGUAGAUAAUUGGUUUGUUUGUUUAUGCUCAAACUUAUUUCUCAAAGGAAUUUUAAGUGAUUAAAAGAGGGUGUUGAGACUUGGAAAGAAUUCAGAAAUCAUUGGAAGUUAGAACUAGAUAUGAUCAUAGAGAUCACCAAGUCCAGUUGUCUUUAUUUCACAAAAACUAAAUGACUUUUUUAGAGCUGCAUUGCUGACUGGGAAAGGCAUGAACUAACCUGAUCUUCUGUUUGCCAGCCUCAAAUGCUCCCUCCCAACCAGUUACUCCCCUUAUCUAAAUCUUUCCUUGACCAGUUUCAAGUCUCAUUUGCUCUGUGAAGCCUUGUCUACUGUAGUCCUGCUUAAUCUCUAGUUUAUUGUGUGAAUUUAGUUUGCCACUUGAUUAAAUGUUGUCGCAUACUCUUGUUUCUUGUCUCCUUUCCUUGCUCAGAAUAAUAAGCUCUUCAGGGACAGUGAAUCUUUUGUCUCCAUAUCUGCCCCAAUGUUGGAUAGAAGGUAGGUAGUUCAUUGUGUCAUGAUCAGUGUAUUAACCAGUUGUAUCCAUGUGGUGCUUUGAAGAGAAGAUAUCCUGCAUGUCACUGAGACAUAUGAGUGGUUUGUCAGUGAACCCAUUCCACCUUUCCAGAGUCCUAAGGGAUGGCACAGAGUGAGACAGCCUUUGUAGGUCUAGGGCCUGUAUACAUUGUUAGUUAUGCAAAGAUGACAAGGCUUUCAAAAGCAAAACAAAACUCAGAGGCAAAAAAAAAAAAAAAAAAAAAAAUCCUAGGUAAUGUUACAGAAAUAUCAUAUAGGACCAUUUGGCUAUAAGGGAGAAAGGAACUUACUAAAAUAAAAGUAAAAAAGCUUUCAAAAACUUCCUCAAUUAAUCAGACAAAUUUUAUUUCUCUGAUAAUAAUUUCAUUAAAAAAUAAGUGAAAUUUUAAAAUGAAGCCACAAGUAAAGAAAAGAAGAUUAUCCCUAGGAUAGCUGAUUGCUAUGCCAAAGGUUAGCCCAGAGUACAUUUUUAUAGCACCAUUUUAAGUAUAAAAACUGGUAUCCUGAUAGAAUGUUGACAGAUUUAAAUGUGCUGCCAUAUGAACGGUGUUAAUUCAUUAUCAAAUGAUAAAGUACUUAGAAAUGUUGGCCAGUUAACCGGCUAGACUCCCCAAGGAUUCCUUACCCCUAGUGUGUUGCCCUUAGGGGAUAUAUUUCACUGCACAGUGGAAGUUCCAUCAGUUGGAAAGGAAAGGAUUUGGAGUGUAAUCUAAAUGAAAAUGAAUUUAAGGCGGUUUAGGGUUGGGGACUUUAUUGAACCACUUAUCUUCCUUGCUCUUUCUUGGCAUUUGCCUCACUGUGCUCUAAGGUGAAUGGAGUCCUUUGUUUUGGUUCAUCCAAACAGCUCUCUUUAAUGUGUGUUCUGGACAAUUCCCAAGAAAUGCCGUAAGGUUAUUGAGGGCCUGGGAUCUCAGGGAGAAACAGCUUGUAGGUGUCAGACAGCCUGCUACUGCUCAACUGAAGAUUCAGGCAUCUAUGCUUUGCUACAGUUAUAAACCUAAGUACCUUCCCACCUUAUAAAAUGGUAGUUUUUAUUAAGCUUUUUUCUGAAUAAAAAGAAAACCUGAGGAAUGAGCUGUUUGUCAUGCUAGCCACCAGAGGGCGGAACAGUCACACUUCCUUGGACAGGGGUAAUUUAUUUUGACUGAACAGGACUAUAGUCAGAACACAUUUGCUAAUGUCUAUCAAUAUAGGAAUUUCUAAAAUAAUGAAAUUACUACUUUAGGGUGCAUACUAAUCAGCAGAGUAAUUUGUUAAAAGUGUAGCUUCCUGGGCCAUACCCUCACAGAUUCCAAUUUGAAUCUGGGUGGGACAUUGGGAGUCUCAAACAUGUAUCUUGUAUUUUACUUUGAGAAACACAGAUCUUAAUGUUUUGGGCAUGCAUUUUUGCCUGAUUAUGUUUUCUCUUAGGAUUACAAAGCAAAAUGAUUUUUGGCGAAAAAACAAUAAUAGAAACCAGGUAUAGGUAAACUAGAAUGUUGUUAAAGAUCUUUUCUUGCCUUUGUCAAACAAGUUUCAAAAGAAACUCACUUUAUAAAGAUUCAGAAUCAAAGAAGCUACCAAAACCAUGCUUUUGUCUGGAGUUCUACCUCAGUCAAUAAAGAUCAUCAAAUCCUUAGGCUUCAAGCCUAAUAAUUUUUAAUGAAAUAUCCCCUUUAUGACCAUCUUACAGUGCAACAUAAUUUUAUCCUUUGAGUGUCAUGAAGACCUAUGCCUGAUGUCUUGGCAAUGUGAGAUGUAAUUGCAGAGACCUCCUGAGUAGAUUUAUGUAAUCCUUUCAUCAUCUUGAACGUAUAGAGAGAGAUCUUCCUUUAUAUGUAAAGAUCCAAUUACAGUGAUGCACAUUGUCCUAGUACUGGUGAUGAUUUUAUUUUUGCCAGUGCCCCCAGAGAACGGAGGCAUCCUAAAGGAAACUUUUGCCACUGUUCUUAAAAGGACAGAAGAAUAUGGUGAAGUCUUUUAAAUCUAUGAUAGGAUGCUGCAGCUUAAAAAAUUAAAGAAUUGGAGGUACUGAGUAAAAUGAAAAUUGGUUCUGAAGCUGGGACUUUAGAUGAAAUGAAAUGAAAGGAAAUUAUGAUUUUAUCAGAUGUUUAUAAAAACUAUCUUCUGUGAGAUUCCCAUGGACCUAUUCUAAGAAUACAAACCUUCACUCUCACAUAUUUCAUAUGAAGAUUUUCCAAUGUCACUUCCUUUCUCCUACUUUUCAAGGUUCUUCUGUGAGUAUAUAUGAGUUAAAAAGAAAGUUCUGUAACCUUUCAAACACACAUGGAUAGAAAAAUUUAAUUUUGAAAUUAAGGACAAAAGAUCUAGAACGUAUGAAUGGGAAGAUGCUUUUUUUAAAUGUGAGAUUUUAUGGAAAAAGGAAGAUGUUUUCUAUCAGAAAUGAUGCUGUCCUUACCAUAAAUUUUAAUUAGUAACACUUUUAAUAAUCUAUAUAUGUUAUGAGUAUGAAAGUAUUUCUAAAUUUUGAUGCUGAUAUGAAUUAUUAUACUAAAAUAAUCCUCCCAGUAGAGGAACCUCUAAGAGAAGUUCGGUUCCUUGAGGUCCAGUAAACUUCUGGUAAUGUUACAUUUCAGAUGCCUAUUAAUAGUUAGUAUGUAGAGCAUGUGAUGAAAUGAGAAUUUGUUCAUUAUAAUCAUGAAGCACAGAUCCUGUGGUGUUAACAUUAUUGUAGAGAAUUGUUCUGGCUCACAUAAGAAAUUGAAUCCUUACCAAAUGGAUGAACUAUUGAAUAGCCCAGAGUUUUCAAACUCUGUUAGUUAUAGGUGUGCCAGAAAUGGAUCUUCCCCCUCAGCACUUGGGGCAGCCAACAGGAACCUAUCGGUUGCUCAUUUCUACCUCUCCAUUGUAUCCAGUGCUGCGGAAGGAUAUUUUCUUUUUGUGCCAUUAUCUGACAAAGGUUGGGAAGUACUGCAAAGACUUUGUUCUUUAAUUCUUCCUAGUUUUUGUCACCCUCCAAAAUGUUACGUGUACCCUCUCUUGAUUAUUAUCUAGAAAAACAUCUUAUGCAGCAGGAUUAUCAGUGUCUACUUUGAAAGAUGUAAAAUUAAGUAUGCCAUUCCUUCUAAAGUUCUAGCCCAAGGUGACUUAAAAAUAAAAGUAGUUUUGAAAACCAUUUAGACCAUCAUGUAUUUUGUAAUACAGUUGGGUCACUGCCGAUUCCCAAGAUAAAUGUGUUUAAACAGAAGCUUUCUCAUUCAUCACCAGCCUCAGCUUUCAUCCAAAUUUAUUUAAUGAUGAUGCAAGCCCACAGCAUUGGUGUUGCAGUUCAUCACCAUGGAAGUGUUUCUGUCAACAAAUCCUCGCUUUGCUAUCAUGAAAUUGAUUUUGCAGGGAAACGGAUGAUAAUCAUGGAAGAUUUCUUUUACUUCUAAAGAACUUCACAGUUUGCCUGGGUGUCUAAAUGGAUUGUGUUUAAAAUCAGUAACUGGCAAUAAAAUUGACCAAAGUAAAUUAGACCGUUAAGAGGUUGGAAAAGGGAAAAUGGUAACGAGCUACCUUGUCUGAAACCUUUUUUUUUUUUUGGAAUGUGACAUGGAGACCAGAUUUAUAAUUUAAAACAUUCCUCUGAAAACUGUUGUUCUCUAACUAUGGAAAUACAGAACAUGCUCAAAGAGUCCUAGAAGGAGGCAACUACCAUUUUGACCGCUAUUACCAUAGAUUAAUUAUUAUGUCUGUUUUGAACUUCAUCUGAAUGGAUUCUCAUAUUAAUGGAAAUUCAACUUCAGAUAAGUGGAAUUUUAUAUUGCUAUCAGAAAUAUAGGCAAGUUCCACUUGGUCCACUUACUCAUCAACACCUGAUAUUGUCCUCUUAGUUUUAGCCCUUUUGGUAGGGUUGUACUGGUAUCUCAUUAUAGUUUUAAUUUGCUUUUGUCUGAUGAUUAAUAAAUAAUAUUGAACUUUCUUUUCAGAUGCUUAUUUGGAUAUCCUCUUUCAUGAAAUAUCUCUUAAUUCUUUUCCUUUUUUAUAUUCGACUGUCAGUCAUUUUUUUUAAUUGAUUUAUAGUUCUUUAUAUAUCCUGAGUGUCAGUCUUUUGUUGGUUAUACAUAUGCAGAUAUCUUCUCCAUAUCUGUGGCUUGCCUUUUCAUCUGAUUAUCGUUGUAUUUUUGAUUAACAGAAGUUAUUAAUUUUAAUAAGGUACAGUUUAUUAAUCUUUUAUGCUUGUUGCUUUUUCUAUCCUUUUCAAGAAAUCUUUACCUUCUUCAAGAUUGUGAAGAUAAACUAAGGCUCGGAGAGGUUAAGUGGUUGGCACUAAGGUUGUGGCAGACUGUUAGUUGUCUUUAAAAUGUCAAUUGGCAGGGACGCCUGGGUGGUGCAGUCGGUUAAGCGUCCGACUUCAACCAGGUCACGAUCUCGCGGUCCGUGAGUUCGAGCCCCGCGUCAGGCUCUGGGCUGAUGGCUCAGAGCCUGGAGCCUGUUUCCGAUUCUGUGUCUCCCUCUCUCUCUGCCCCUCCCCCGUUCAUGCUCUGUCUCUCUCUGUCCCCAAAAAAAUAAAUAAACGUUGAAAAAAAAA